rnacentral:misc_RNA from 1 species
UCCGGUUUGGCACCGGCAGUCUCCCUAGAGUUCCCGGCUUUACCCGCUGGCAACUAGGGACAGGGGUUGCGCUCGUUGCGCCACUUAAGGCAACACCUCACGGCACGAGCUGACGACAGCCAUGCACCACCUGUGCGGGCUCCGUAGAGCGCUGGCUUUCACCAGCUUUACCCCGCAUGUCAAGCCCAGGUAAGGUUCUUCGCGUUGCAUCGAAUUAAGCCGCAUGCUCCACCGCUUGUGCGGGUCCCCGUCAAUUCCUUUAUGUUUUAGUCUUGCGACCGUACUCCACAGGCGGGAUACUUAACGCGUUAGCUUCGCUACGGAGGGGGUCGAUACCCCCCACAGCUAGUACUCAACGUUUACGGCUGGGACUAC